AUUGAACGCUAGCGGCAGGCCUAACACAUGCAAGUCGAACGAGUGGCGGACGGGUGAGUAAUGUAUGGGAAACUGCCCGAUGGAGGGGGAUAACUACUGGAAACAGUAGCUAAUACCGCAUACCAUCGGAUGUGCCCAGAUGGGAUUAGCUAGUUGGUGGGGUAACGGCUCACCUAGGCAACGAUCCCUAGCUGGUCUGAGAGGAUGACCAGCCACACUGGAGAUGAGACACGGUCCAGAAUCCUACGGGAGGCAGCAGUGGGGAAUUUUGCACAAUGGGCGCAAGCCUGAUGCAGCCAUGCCGCGUGUAGGCUGAAGGCCUUCGGGUUGUAAAGUACUUUCAGCGAGGAGGCGUUACUCGCAGAAUAAGCACCGGCUAACUCCGUGCCAGCAGCCGCGGUAAUUC
rnacentral:rRNA from 1 species